rnacentral:rRNA from 3 species
GGGUUGUGAGGUUAAGCGACUAAGCGUACACGGUGGAUGCCCUGGCAGUCAGAGGCGAUGAAGGGCGUGCUAAUCUGCGAUAAGCGCCGGUAAGGUGAUAUGAACCGUUAUAACCGGCGAUUUCCGAAUGGGGAAACCCAGUGUGACUCGUCACACUAUCAUUAACUGAAUCCAUAGGUUAAUGAGGCGAACCGGGGGAACUGAAACAUCUAAGUACCCCGAGGAAAAGAAAUCAACCGAGAUUCCCCCA